AUACGUAGGGUGCGAGCGUUGUCCGGAAUUAUUGGGCGUAAAGGGCUCGUAGGCGGUUUGUUGCGUCGGGAGUGAAAACUCAGGGCUUAACCCUGAGCCUGCUUCCGAUACGGGCAGACUAGAGGUAUGCAGGGGAGAACGGAAUUCCUGGUGUAGCGGUGAAAUGCGCAGAUAUCAGGAGGAACACCGGUGGCGAAGGCGGUUCUCUGGGCAUUACCUGACGCUGAGGAGCGAAAGUGUGGGGAGCGAACAGGAUUAGAUACCCUGGUAGUCCACACCGUAAACGCUGGGCGCUAGGUGUGGGACUCAUUCCACGAGUUCCGUGCCGCAGCUAACGCAUUAAGCGCCCCGCCUGGGGAGUACGGCCGCAAGGCUAAA
rnacentral:rRNA from 1 species